rnacentral:rRNA from 1 species
CAGUCGCCACGGUAAUACAGAGGGUGCGAGCGUUAAUCGGAUUUACUGGGCGUAAAGCGUGCGUAGGCGGCUUCUUAAGUCGGAUGUGAAAUCCCUGAGCUUAACUUAGGAAUUGCAUUCGAUACUGGGAAGCUAUAGUAUGGGAGAGGAUGGUAGAAUUCCAGGUGUAGCGGUGAAAUGCGUAGAGAUCUGGAGGAAUACCGAUGGCGAAGGCAGCCAUCUGGCCUAAUACUGACGCUGAGGUACGAAAGCAUGGGGAGCAAACAGGAUUAGAUACCCCCGUAGUCCCUGUCUCUUAUAC